rnacentral:ncRNA from 1 species
AUAAUGAUACUUGCGUCCAGUCACAGGCCGAGCGUUGAAGCGGCACGAAAAGUGCCGUGAGCCGUCGCAGCCACUGAGGGCGCCUCGCAGAGAUCCUGGGAGUGGUGGGAUUCCAAUGA